CUUAUACUCCCUCUAUCUGGAAUUACUUGUCGCAAAAAUGAAUACAGAUGGAUGUGUCUAAAAUUAAAAUACAUCUAGAUACAUUCAUUCCUACGAUAAGUAUUUCCAGUCGGAGGGAGUAAAUU
rfam:Hordeum vulgare subsp. vulgare, WGS project CAJW01000000 data, contig: morex_contig_140530